AGAGAGUUGCAGAAGAAAAGAUUUGUAAUGAAAUCCCUAGCUGCAGCAACCAUACUCCAACUCUCUCUACGGAAGGUGUAUCAGUCAAACUUGCAGACCAGGGAACUCGUGAAAAUUGUAUGGAAGGAUACACGUUUGUGUUGGACUCGAUAAACAGUGAAUCGAAGCAUGAAGAGAACAAUUAUGUUGUUUGUGUCAUCCCUGGAGGGUCACCCUACAAAUUUGAUUGCUUCAAUAAACUCAAAGUAUCUAGUGUGAAGGAAAUAGACUUGAUGUGUGCCAUUUUAACUGGGACGUUGGAUCGAUCCAUUUUGAUACCACCUUGCGGUGAGUUUGUUU